rnacentral:tRNA from 1 species
CAGGAGGUAGUUUAUUAAAAUAUUAAUUUUGGAGAUUAAUGAUGAAGGGUCUUCCUUCCUGA